UUUCUACUCCCUCCGUCCGAAAAUACUUGUCAUCAAAAUGGAUAAAAAGAGAUGUAUCUAAAACUAAAAUACAUCUAGAUACAUUUCCUUUUAUCCAUUUUGAUGACANNNGGACGGAGGGAGUAUUUG
rnacentral:pre_miRNA from 1 species